rnacentral:rRNA from 1 species
GACGGGUAGCCGGCCUGAGAGGGUGACCGGCCACACUGGGACUGAGACACGGCCCAGACUCCUACGGGAGGCAGCAGUGGGGAAUAUUGCACAAUGGGCGCAAGCCUGAUGCAGCAACGCCGCGUGAGGGAUGACGGCCUUCGGGUUGUAAACCUCUUUUAGUAGGGAAGAAGCGAAAGUGACGGUACCUGCAGAAAAAGCACCGGCUAACUACGUGCCAGCAGCCGCGGUAAUACGUAGGGUGCGAGCGUUGUCCGGAAUUAUUGGGCGUAAAGAGCUCGUAGGCGGUCUGUCGCGUCUGCUGUGAAAACCCGAGGCUCAACCUCGGGCCUGCAGUGGGUACGGGCAGACUAGAGUGCGGUAGGGGAGAAUGGAAUUCCUGGUGUAGCGGUGGAAUGCGCAGAUAUCAGGAGGAACACCGAUGGCGAAGGCAGUUCUCUGGGCCGUAACUGACGCUGAGGAGCGAAAGCGUGGGGAGCGAACAGGAUUAGAUACCCUGGUAGUCCACGCCGUAAACGUUGGGCGCUAGAUGUGGGGACCAUUCCACGGUUUCCGUGUCGCAGCUAACGCAUUAAGCGCCCCGCCUGGGGAGUACGGCCGCAAGGCUAAAACUCAAAGGAAUUGACGGGGGCCCGCACAAGCGGCGGAGCAUGCGGAUUAAUUCGAUGCAACGCGAAGAACCUUACCAAGGCUUGACAUACACGAGAACGCCCUAGAAAUAGGGAACUCUUUGGACACUCGUGAACAGGUGGUGCAUGGUUGUCGUCAGCUCGUGUCGUGAGAUGUUGGGUUAAGUCCCGCAACGAGCGCAACCCUCGUUCUAUGUUGCCAGCGCGUAAUGGCGGGAACUCAUAGGAGACUGCCGGGGUCAACUCGGAGGAAGGUGGGGAUGACGUCAAAUCAUCAUGCCCCUUAUGUCUUGGGCUUCACGCAUGCUACAAUGGCCGGUACAAAGGGCUGCAAUACCGUAAGGUGGAGCGAAUCCCAAAAAGCCGGUCUCAGUUCGGAUUGAGGUCUGCAACUCGACCUCAUGAAGUCGGAGUCGCUAGUAAUCGCAGAUCAGCAACGCUGCGGUGAAUACGUUCCCGGGCCUUGUACACACCGCCCGUCAAGUCAUGAAAGUCGGUAACACCCGAAGCCGGUGGCCCAACCCUUGUGGAGGGAGCCGUCGAAGGUGGGAUCGG